CCCAGGAACACACCACGUUCCCCGGACGAGGGGAGCCAGUACCCGGCGACGCGCAAAGACUGGCUCACA
rnacentral:ncRNA from 1 species